rnacentral:rRNA from 1 species
CCGGCGCACGGGUGAGUAACACGUAUCCAACCUGCCGUCUACUCUUGGCCAGCCUUCUGAAAGGAAGAUUAAUCCAGGAUGGCAUCAUAAGUUCACAUGUCCGCAUGAUUAAAGGUAUUUUCCGGUAGACGAUGGGGAUGCGUUCCAUUAGAUAGUAGGCGGGGUAACGGCCCACCUAGUCAACGAUGGAUAGGGGUUCUGAGAGGAAGGUCCCCCACAUUGGAACUGAGACACGGUCCAA